AAAUUAUUUAAUAAAUCUAAGACUCAAGACUUGCAAUCCCUACCACGAAACUCUCACCCACCACAUCGCAAACUCAUAGCAGGAAGGGAUAGCUCCAGCAGCCGACCCACCAAUCACCGAAGAGGCCCACCUCCUCUCCCUACCAUUAAACGUCGAACCAGAGGAAGGUAUUUAAGGCACCUCGAGAGUCAAGUCAGGGCUUCUAGAUCCACGGCCUUUUAGACAAAGUCGGUCAGCCCUCUAACACAGCUCUCUCUACGCCAUCAGAUCUCCAGCUCUCGAAGAGGAAAAACCUAGAAGCCUACCGGACACCUUAACUUAUUCGAAAAUAACUUAGUCGCGAUUUUGAUUUUUUCUUUCGGGACUUAGUCUCAAUCUCUAUUAAGAGAGCUGUAUCAACAUUAACACUUUAAUAAAGUGCUACCAUCCAGCAACCUCUGACUCUUUGGCCAUUCUCUGCGCUGCCUUGCCACUUCUUCAGGUUCUCACCGAGGUCGAGCAACCCAGGGAAGGAGCAGCGGUGCCUGUAUUCAUCCAUUGAUCCCGUCAUCCGGUACCUUUCUACGCAUCAUCAUGGUUAACCCCCGCCGAACUUCUUCCGUUGGACGCGAAAUUCCCCUCCGUGCCGCGGGUAUACGCCGCAGGCGUGCCUCCCGGUCGGUACUUAGGCUCCCUACAGCUCGUCAGUUGUUUGCCGACGAGAACGACUUAACAAGCAGAGUAACAAGGUACUCUCCAGUGCGUAGUUUCGCGCCCUCCCGCGCAUACCCUUAUCGUCCUCCCCGAAACCCUCCAGCGGUUCUU